GCGUCAUGCAGUCCUUUCUGACAACCGAAGAUAUGCUCUGUGAUUUCUUAGACUCAUGUUCAUGAGAGUAGGUCUGCAGCUAUUUGAAUUUUAACCACAUGUUUACACGGGGGAUUGUGCAACAAAGUGGAUGAUAUGGAAGAGGUUGCCUCGGAAAGAAAAAAGAGAGAGAACGAGAGCUGUGACUUGAAGAUCCGAAGAUCAUAGUUCGUUUGACAGAGAUCGUUUUCUCUCUAAUCAAAGGGAAAACUUGGAGCAAAUGGUUCAGCUCGUGCGACUGAGCUCAGGGAAGGUGGAGGUUCAACAGAAACCACAUUGAGUCCAAAUACGAUGUCCAGCUGAAAGAGAACGAGAGCUACGGUUCGCUGGUAGCUACGGUAAAAGAAAAGUGCAGGCUUGAACAAUUUCUCUUACCCACCGAGCAUGUUCUUCUCACUUACGAGUUACCCGACUGGAUGAAAGAAACGGAUGAGUAUACAUCACCACCUUUGGAGAUCAAGGACGACAGAGACGUGGAAGUUUUCAUGGCUGUCCGUGUAGACUGUGUGUGGCUAGAGCUUUAUGUAUACUACGGCGAUGCAGACGUUAGCCGUUACCGUCGUUUAACGGCUAUGGAAGAGGGUCUGAUUCUCAUUGCGAACCCUAGGCCCGCUCAGCAACCAUUAACACGCUGGAGAGGUGCAGUGGAGAGAGGCUAUUUAUUAGCUAGCGAGGACGUGUUGAUGGAGAUAUGCACUACAGAGGAGCUUCUGAAGCCAAAAAGACAUUCAAAAGGCUCUAACACGAGAGCUGGAAGAGGAUGAUGGGUUCAUUAUUGGAAGUGAUUCAGGUUCUUCAACAGACUCAUCUCGACCGCCUGACACUGACGAUGAUCCUCCAGCUACAGGUGGCGUGAUAAUACUUAGAGAAGUGACCGAUACUCUUAACAAAGGAGACUGUUCAAUGGUAGACAAGGGGAAGGCAAUCAUGACACAAGACAGUAUUUCUAGCGUGCGGAAUAUAGUGGGACAAGGAGAAGGAAACUCUUUAGGUGGCGGACUAGGACCAAACUCGGGUACACUGGCCUUAAUGCUGGGUACCGAUGUUAAUAACAGUGACCAAUGCAGCGGCAGGGAUACAGAAGCAGAUUGUGAUCUAAGCGUCAUCAGAAAUCUCGCCAGGGAACCAACGCAGAUUAAAGUCCCACCGGUUGUAAGAGGAGUUCCAUUUGAAGGAGACUCUGAUGACUGCCAGAUAAUUGAAGGGUCUGACUUGCAAGCGAAGGACCAUCUUAGGGUUGGGCAAGUAUUCGAGAAUAAAGAGGCUUUCAAGCUCCAUAUGACACUUUACGCAAUCGCUAACAAGUUCAGGUACCUGAUAAAAAGAUCAGAGUCGGGUAAAAUUCUACUUGAAUGUGUUAGAGCAAUAUGCGGGUGGCGAGUCUAUGCAACCAAAAUGGGAGGUUUCCCUAGGUUCGAGAUAAGGACACUUGACCCACUUCACACCUGUUCAGUCGCCGACCGAUGGGGCUUCAGUGAUCGGAGGCAUGAUGAGAGAGCGCUACGGUGGUGGGAGUGGGACUGGUCCACGCCCGGGGGAAGUAAGAGAGCUAAUGCGUACUGAUCAUAGGAUCCCCAUUACUUACUGGAAGGCAUGGAAGUCCAGAGAGUCAGCAAUAGGGCAAGGUUCUGGAAGCUCAGAGGCUGCUUAUCAAUGUCUGCCAUCCUACUUGGAGAAAAUUGCAUCUGAGAACCCAGGUUCAACAGUUGCGUUGGAAACGGUUCCAGCCCCUGAUGGAGAACAACGGUUCAAGUAUCUCUUUCUCGCCUUGGGCGCAAGCAUACAAGGAUUUCCUUACAUGAGGAAGGUGGUGAUUAUCGAUGGCCGUCUGCUCAUAGCAAGUGCUCAAGACGGGAACUUUCAAAUUUUCCCAAUUGGGUUUGGGAUUGUAGACUCUGAGAACGAUUAGUCUUGGACGUGGUUCUUCAGUAAGCUUCAAACCAUGGUUCCAGACUCCUACGAUCUGGUUUUCGUAUCUGACCGCCACACAUCCAUCUACUCGGGGAUACGCAGGGUUUAUCCACAGUCGCAGCACUGCGCUUGCCUAAUGCAUCUCCAGCGAAAUGUCCAAACCAUUUUCAAGAAGAAACACCUUAUGUACCUUAUAGCCAGAGCAGCCAGAGCAUUCCGUGUGGAAGACUUCUAUACUCAUUUCAAUGAGAUUAAGGUGAUUGACAUUUCCUGUGCCGACCACCUCAUGGGCGAGAUCUCACUUCGAGGGGUCUAACACUUAACAAUGCCCUCUCCACAGCAAGAGAGUACCCUAUCAUUGGUCUGAUCGAGUACAUCAGAACAAUGCUUAUGGGUUGGUUCUCUAGUAGGCGCACUGCUGCUAACACAAAUGGUAGCGCGUUAACUCCAAAGGUUGCUGCCAUCGUGUCAAGGAACUUCACAGUGUCUAUCGGAUAUGCAAUCCGACACAAUCAUAAACGCGAAGUAUGAGGUGCGUGAUGAUGGGGGUGUCUUCUACAGAGUGGAUCUCGAUAGAAAAACCUGUUCAUGCAGGGAAUUCGAGAUGAUAGCAAUUCCUUGCACGCAUGCUGUUGCAGGAGCAGUAAACGGGAAGCAUGACGGCUAGGGAGUACACAACUGCGUACUGGGGCUUGGCUUACGCAGAGAGCAUAAACCCGGUGAACCCAUCCACAUCUACCAACGAGCAGCCUGAGAUGAAGCUUCUCCCACAAAACACCCGUAGGCCAGCAGGAAGACCCAGGAAGGCAUGAAUCCCAUCAGCGGGUGAAAUAAGGAACACAGGAGUUUUCAAGAGGAGCAGGGCUUGUAGCAGGUGCGGCGGUAGUGAUCACAACCGCGCGACCUGUAGAAUGCCUAUCUGAUCACUUAUCUAUAAGUAUUAGGAGUGGCAACGGAUGGUAGGAUGGUCUUUUGAAGGUCAGAUCGGGGGCGACCUUGUCUUUAUAUGUUAUAUGCUAAACUUGUUCCCCUAAUCUGUUCUCUAGUUGACAAAUAUGUAAGUACGACAAGAGAGUGGAAUAAUGUUGCACUCCACUGUAAGACUUGAACCUAAAAUUAUGAUGUGCUAAUGAAAAAAAUAGCACUUCCAUUAAAUGUUGGUUGUUAUAUA